rnacentral:rRNA from 1 species
UACGUAGGGUGCAAGCGUUGUCCGGAAUUAUUGGGCGUAAAGAGCUCGUAGGCGGUCUGUCGCGUCGGCUGUGAAAACCCCGAGGCUCAACCUCGGGCCUGCAGUCGAUACGGGCAAACUAGAGUACUGCAGGGGAGACUGGAAUUCCUGGUGUAGCGGUGAAAUGCGCAGAUAUCAGGAGGAACACCGGUGGCGAAGGCGGGUCUCUGGGCAGUAACUGACGCUGGAGGAGCGAAAAGCCGUGGGGAGCGAACAGG